rnacentral:lncRNA from 1 species
GAUGUCGGAUUUCUAGUAUUUAUUUAUGAAACUAAUAGUAUACUUCAAAAAAAUGCAUUAUUUAAAAAUUAUUUUUUUAAUUAAUAUUUUGUGCUUUUAACUAAUUAUUUGGCAUGCUGGACCCCACUUUGGGGUGUUAUGUUGUUUACUGGGCUAGUGUAGCUCAUUAUUAUAUUUUUUCUAUUUUUCAGAUCCAGAUGCAUGAUUGCUCGGGACUUGAGGAGCGCGUUAGUUCUUUUGAAAAUACUUUCAGUUAUUGGAGUUUUAGUCGGACUAGUUAGAAUAUUUUAUUUGAUUUAUGUUAAUAGUUAGCAAAUGUUGACUUAUGUCACUUUGGAACUAUUGUAAAAUUUAUUUGGCUAAGUUCUUGAUUAAAUAAGUUUUUGGAAUUAUUGUUGCUUUGAUAUGCUCUGCAGCCUUGCAUGCUUGUAUAGUUUGCCAUACAGAUAUGCGAUGUUUGUUACGCUCUAGGUUUGGGGCAUGAUACGGGGCAUGGGAGGGGGUAACAAAAUAUACUAG